rnacentral:misc_RNA from 1 species
GUGAGUCAUCGAAUCUUUGAACGCACAUUGCGCCCCCUGGCAUUCCGGGGGGCAUGCCCGUUCGAGCGUCAUUACACCCCUCAAGCCUCGCUUGGUGUUGGGCGGCGGGCCCCCGAGCCCGCGCCCGGAAAUGCUCGGCCGUCCGGUCGGAGUCGCAGCGUCGUGGCAAUCAAUUCGCCGUGGACGACGCCCGGGCGCGCCGGAGAGCUCUACACUACAGGUUGACCUCGGAUCGGGCAGGGUUACCCGCUGAACUUAAGCAUAUCAAUAAGCGGAGGA